rnacentral:rRNA from 1 species
UACGGAGGUGGCAAGCGUUAUCCGGAAUUAUUGGGCGUAAAGCGAGCGUAGGCGGUUUAUCAAGUCUGAUGUUAAAGCCCACGGCUCAACCGUGGAGAGGCAUUGGAAACUGGAAGACUUGAGUACAGAAGAGGAAGGGGGAAUUCCAAGUGUAGCGGUGAAAUGCGUAGAGAUUUGGAGGAACACCAGUGGCGAAGGCGACUUUCUGGGCUGUAACUGACGCUGAUGGGCGAAAGCGAGGGGAGCAAACAGG